GAGAAAAAGCCCACCCAGCACCUUCCUCGAUCCAACCGGCGACGCGCCCUCCGCCCCGACCCCAACCGGCGCUGCUGCCGCCACCUCACACCCAUCAGAGACGCGGCCGCCGCCCCGCCCCCGACCAGAGACCCUGCCGCCGCCCGGCCAUGCCCCAACUGGAGACGCGGCCGCCGCCCCACCACGCCACAGCCGGAGGCUCCGCUGCCCACACCCAGUCCCGCACUUCACUCCCCCUCGAUCCCCCCGCUAGAAUGAGCCCUUGCCCCGCCGCUCCCUUCCCAGGAUCCAGCCAUCGUCCUGCCUUCCUUCCCCGACGGCAUGCGCCGCCACCCCACCUUCCUCCUCCGGCCAGGUGCGCUGCCACGAUGCGACCCCCAGCCAGCACGCGCCGCCGCCUCCACCUCCCCCUCACGCAGCACCUCCGCCGUGACGCACCCCCUGCAAGUUCGCACCGCCGGUCACACCUUCCUUCCCCGUCAGCAUGCACCAGCGCGAUGCAUCCCGCCGCGUAGCAUCCCGGCGCAACAUCCGGUGAUCCACCGACCCGCUACCCGAUCGAGCCCCUGGAGAACAUCCACACAAGCACGUGUGUUCAAUUUCUACAUUUCUGCUACUAAAAACAGAGGAGAACGGCUGCUAAGAUUUUCUCUGAACUUCCUUGUUCUUUGUGACGAGACCUGCUCAACUCUCCCUCUAUGAACUCUUGCAAAACAAUUUUAUUUAUAUUUUCAUCUUUAUCUUUAUGAACUGAAUUGGACUGGGUUGUGUCAUAUUCUUAUUAAUUUUCCCAUCUGAAAAUGGUAUGAUACAAAGGAACAGUCUAGGUGGACGAGAAUUUCAAGUUCAUUUCUGACUGCAGAUACUUCGAUUUUUAUUUUCAAGUAUUAAAUUUCUUGGAUAAAUCACCUCUGUCAAUGCCUCGCUGAUCAUCAUCCCGAAGUUCACCUCUGUCAACGCUGCCGUUCAGGUACUCAUUCCAUUCCAAAAUCACUUGCGUGAUACAUCUCGUGCAUGCACUGUAAAAUGUAACACAUGCCAGUUAUAGUCUGCAUUAGUAGCUAAUUCCAUCCAUCCAUUCAGUUGUUGAGGCAAAGCCAUCCUCAAGACACAGAAGAUACGCACUCGAUUAGCAAACUCCACAAGGCACGAUUUAAAUUACUUGCAGCUUUCUUAAGCAGUCAACUAUCUUGAACCAGACUACAUAAUGGAUUACAUACAGUGUACAUUAGCUCGGGUAGAGAAAAUAUAAGUUCAAAUUCUUGCACCAUUGUGCUAGCUAACACAGCUUAUUAUUCAGUGAUUUGCACAAAAACUUCACCUGGAGGUAUUGACCUGUAGCGUGUCGCGUCUGCCGCUGCCGCCGAGGUCCCCCACAUACAGCCGACGCUGCGGCAACCACCCCCCACCACUGUCUGUUGCCGAUGCCUGCAACCACGUCCGGCCGCCCACUGGACGUGGGCACAGAGGUAGGGCCACGCUGAGAGCUCGAGCUCCACCACCCGCAGCCGCUUCCCCUGCAGGUUGUAGUGGAAAAACAAAAGGCAGAAGUUCAAAGAUGAAAUUUGAAGAAGGAAAUAUACAACAAUCAAAGAAGUGGUGGUCUCAUUACAGAGAAGGAGAACGCCUUGCGAGCCAGCCAAGUUGACUUCUGCCAUCGGCACUGCGUAAUAAUCACUGGAUUCCCAUGGCCACCGACGCUGGAUAAUUAGCACUGAACAACUUGCAAUCCAGAAGAAAGUUGCGCCCAUAACCCGUGGAGAUCUAUCACGUUGUGUAGUUGGUCGUGAUGUAUGUCUCCCGGAGCUUCAAUUUUUAUGACCCUGGUGCAUGUUCUUCUUUUUUGAUGUGUCAUUUAAUGCAUAAUUUAUCACUGGAUGCCCAUUGGUGUGUGCAUAGUAUGUGUUUGUGUUAGUUCCCGACAGGUUCCUUCAUGUACAUCAUGGUGAUGGAUAGAGAGAUCCAUUAUUCAUUUGUAUAGAAGUUCAAAUUUAAAUAAAAUAGAGGUUCAAUGUUUAUGAAA